rnacentral:misc_RNA from 1 species
GAUGAAGAACGUAGCGAAAUGCGAUAAGUAAUGUGAAUUGCAGAAUUCAGUGAAUCAUCGAAUCUUUGAACGCACAUUGCGCCCGCCAGCAUUCUGGCGGGCAUGCCUGUCUGAGCGUCAUUUCAACCCUCAUGCCCCUAGGGCGUGGUGUUGGGGAUCGGCCAAAGCCCGCGAGGGACGGCCGGCCCCUAAAUCUAGUGGCGGACCCGUCGUGGCCUCCUCUGCGAAGUAGUGAUAUUCCGCAUCGGAGAGCGACGAGCCCCUGCCGUUAAACCCCCAACUUUCCAAGGUUGACCUCAGAUCAGGUAGGAAUACCCGCUGAACUUAAGCAUAUCAAUAAGCGGAGGA